rnacentral:tRNA from 1 species
AUUUAAAUAGUUUAAUUUAGAACGAUAAUUUGUGGUGUUAUAGGUGUAUAUUUACUUUAAAUU